GUCCUUUUGAGAUUAAUUUAAGGUCUGACCUGCCCACUGAAUUUUUAAAGGGCCGCAGUAAUUUGACUGUGCAAAGGUAGCAUAAUCAUUAGUUUUUUAAUUAAAAGCUUGUAUGAAGGGUUGGACGAGGUAAAAUCUGUCUCUAUUUAAAUUAGAUUAAAAUUUAAUUUUUAAGUUAAAAAGCUUAAAUUUAUUUAAAAGACGAGAAGACCCUAUAGAUCUUUAUAUAAAUAAUAUUAAUUUUAUUUAGGAAUAUUUAGUUUAUUAUUGUUAUUUAUAUUUUAUUGGGGUAAUAAAAAGAUUUAAAUAAUUCUUUUUUAUAUAAAACAUUGAUUUAUGAUUAAAUGAUCCAAUAUUUUUGAUUUUAAGAUUAAGUUACCUUAGGGAUAACAGCGUAAUUUUUUUAGAGAGUUCAUAUCGAUAAAAAAGUUUGCGACCUCGAUGUUGGAUUAAAAAUUAUCUUAGGUGCAGAAGUUUAAGAUUUUGGUCUGUUCGACCAUUAAAUUUUU
rnacentral:rRNA from 1 species